rnacentral:rRNA from 1 species
UACGUAGGGUGCAAGCGUUGUCCGGAAUUAUUGGGCGUAAAGAGCUCGUAGGCGGUUCGUCGCGUCGGCUGUGAAACCCGGAGCUCAACUCCGGGCCUGCAGUCGAUACGGGCGGACUUGAGUGUUGCAGGGGAGACUGGAAUUCCUGGUGUAGCGGUGAAAUGCGCAGAUAUCAGGAGGAACACCAGUGGCGAAGGCGGCCGGCUGGGGUGACCUGACGCUGAGGCGCGAAAGCGUGGGGAGCGAACCG